UACGGGGGGGGCAAGCGUUGUUCGGAAUUACUGGGCGUAAAGGGCUCGUAGGCGGCCAACUAAGUCAGACGUGAAAUCCCCAGGCUCAACCUGGGAACUGCGUCUGAUACUGGAUGGCUUGAAUCCGGGAGAGGGAUGCAGAAUUCCAGGUGUAGCGGUGAAAUGCGUAGAUAUCAGGAGGAACACCGAUGGCGAAGGCAGGUCUCUGGGCCACUACUGACGCUGAGAAGCGAAAGCGUGGGGAGCGAACAGG
rnacentral:rRNA from 1 species